rnacentral:lncRNA from 1 species
CGCUACAAUUUAUUUAUCUGUACUGCGUGCCCUUCUCUCACUCCAUAUAUAAGUCCAUAUAUCUAACAUAACCACUCAUGUUCAUUCCCUUUAUUUCACAUCACCUGUCAUAGGUCGCAAGAGGUAAUUUUGUACAAAACACUAAUCCUGUUGAGAAUGGAAAGCAUGGAAGAAGAUGUAGCUGGGCUUCGAGUUGGAUCUCAAAUAAGAGCAGACGGAAUCUAUAGGAUCGAAAUGAGGCACAUUCUUUCCCAAGAAUCUUCU